rnacentral:rRNA from 1 species
UCUGNUCUGUCACUGACGCUGAGGCUNGAAAGCGUGGGUAGCGAACAGGAUUAGAUACCCUGGUAGUNCACGCCGUAAACGAUGAGUGCUAGGUGUUAGGCCCUUUCCGGGGCUUAGUGCCGGAGCUAACGCAAUAAGCACUCCGCCAGGGGAGUACGACCGCAAGGUUGAAACUCAAAGGAAUUGACGGGGGCCCGCACAAGCGGUGGAGCAUGUGGUUUAAUUCGAAGCAACGCGAAGAACCUUACCAGGUCUUGACAUCCCGAUGCUAUUCUUAGAGAUAGGAAGUUACUUCGGUACAUCGGAGACAGGUGGUGCAUGGUUGUCGUCAGCUCGUGUCGUGAGAUGUUGGGUUAAGUCCCGCAACGAGCGCAACCCUUAUUGUUAGUUGCCAUCAUUAAGUUGGGCACUCUAGCGAGACUGCCGGUAAUAAACCGGAGGAAGGUGGGGAUGACGUCAAAUCAUCAUGCCCCUUAUGACCUGGGCUACACACGUGCUACAAUGGUCGGUACAACGAGUUGCGAGCCGGUGACGGCAAGCUAAUCUCUGAAAGCCGAUCUCAGUUCGGAUUGGAGGCUGCAACUCGCCUCCAUGAAGUCGGAAUCGCUAGUAAUCGCGGAUCAGCACGCCGCGGUGAAUACGUUCCCGGGCCUUGUACACACCGCCCGUCACACCACGAGAGUUUGUAGCACCCGA